UCCAGAUGUAGACCUACUCCUGGGGCUGCAAUCCAGUACAUUAGCCUUCUGUAACUUGCUGGAUUUCCCUAAUGGGCAAUCCCUUGAUUUCCAGCCAACGUUAUUACUGGGGCAGACCAUGGAAAAGUAUUGAUUUCUCUAUAUAUACUGAUUUCAUAUUGGCGAGAUAAACAGUGAGACUUUGCAUAAGCAUGCGUGUAAUUGCUCUGUAAUUCUAACAACAAAAACUGCAAUUCUAAACAGAGGAAUACUACAGAAGAAACUUAUUAACUUCAAAUCACAACCAUGGUUCUUCCAUUGAACACUGUAACUUCAGAAAUCUUGUUACCUAAGUCAGCAGAAUGAAGAGACUCACUACUUAUGUAUUUAAAACUUCCCUUCCUGGAAAAAAUAAUUGCUCAAACUCUAGAAAUUGAUAGGUUGCAGUCAGUCAAAAGCUGUUCUCCAGAUCAAUAUGGAUCACUAUCCCGUUCAUUAUUCUCUCAGCUAUUCCUGGCGUCGGUAUUUCAUCAUUUUCUACUUUUGCUACGGUUGUCUGCUUCUGUAAUUAUUUCUGCAUAAAAUUUGUUGUGUAUUUCAUUCAGUUCCAUAAAAAUGCCGGGAGAAAAAAGAUUUUCAAUGGUUAAUCAAUUAUGAGUGGGUGCUGACAAGUUGGGGAAAGGGGAGUUGAAUGAAAUUGAUAACUGAAUAACCCUUGUUGUCUAUUCUGCUUAAUUAAAUUAUUGAAAUCUU